AAAGUUUAGAGAUGGCGGAUUUCAGACGAAUCCAGAUGCGUUGUAGCAGCGCUUGUUCCUCCACGUUGCACGCGUGGUGAUGGACAGCAGGGAUUUCAGGAGAUUCCUGAACGGCCGGGCCAUUCGUGGCCAAAAGUGCCAUGCAUCGGGGCUGCGCCCAACCACACCCCGUCAACAAAAACGACGCCUGUCGGCCACAACACAAAGUCAAGGUAACUGUUUUCUUGCUCGAGUAAUUGUCAUCCUCAAAUACGAGAAACGCCUCCGUUAGCUCCAGAAUGCCACAGAUAACUAAAUAUACUCUUGAGCGCUUUUGUACAUUAUUUAUCAAUGUGAUGGUGUUAUUAAGAGGUGGAUUAGGUCACUUAAAUACCCAGUGAAGGCCCAGGUCCACAGAUCACUGCCUGUCAUUGGUGAAUAACAAAUUUCACGAGGCACAUCAUCAAAUUAAACAGUGAAACAUCAGAAGUUAAAAUAAUAUACUUUAUUAUUUUUGCUGCAGGCUAUGUAGUUUCUCUUCUGAAUUAGCAGGUUUGACAUUUGCACCAACAUCAGCCAACGCAGGUUUAAAAUGCAGAAGUGUAUAUAUACUGCGGUAAAACACAAGAAAUUCACAUGCAAUGAACCCCCGCUAGUUGCAGGGGAUCGCGAACAAGCCCCACCGUAAAUGCGAAAAUCUGCGAGUGAUUGAUGGAAUAACUGACAGUGGUUUAUAAUUUUCGACAAAUGGCAUAAGUUGAUGUUCAAGCACUUUUUGUCAAAACUGAAUUCAAAUCACCAUAGUUCCUUGGCACAAAGAUGCCAGCAAAGUAAUUAUUUUU